GGGGCCAUGGCUCAGUGGUAGAGCGCUUGCCUAGCAUGCAUGAGGCACUGGGUUCAAUCCUCAGCACCA
rnacentral:tRNA from 1 species